AUCAAAAACUUUGAAUAUACAAACAAAACCUUAUAAUUAUGCAUCAACUAUAUUAAUAUAGAAAAUAUGUAGAACAAGCAUAUAAACAUAAAAAUACCAAAUAUAGAACAAAUGAUUUGAGGCCUUGAUGAUGAACAUUUCAGAGGGUCUGGAAGGAAACUCGGAGGCCAGGUGUGAAACCAGUCAGCUGGGGAAAGCACACCAGUACCUAAAGAGCCAUGCUGCCAAUAGGUGAAAUGUCUACAGGUACAUUAGUAUAUAACAAUACUCCAGCUAUCAUCUCCAGGCGCCCUGGUUUAGCUAAAUACUGUGAAGUCCUCCCAGUACUGCCUGUGACUGCAUAAAAAGAGGGAAACAAAGAGAGAACGAGGGAGGGAGGGAGGAAGGGAGGAAGGAAAGGAAGGAAGGAAGGGAGGAGGGAAGGAAAGAAGGAGGGGGGAGGGAGGGAGGAAGGACAGAAGGUCAACAGGAACAGUCAAAACAGACGGGGUCAAUUUGACCCGUGAGGACGACAGGAAGGUUAACAGGUUGUAACUUAUUACAACGGUUGCUGCUGCUGUUUUCCUGCCUGUCAGUUGCUGUAUGUGUUUUAAAGUCUUCAUGAUAUGAUGUGUAUUGUUUGUAUUUUUAAUGUAUUGGAAGAAGCCGAAGACAAAUUUCCCACUUUGUUGGACAAUAAAGUCAAUUCAAUUCAGAAGCUUCUAAAGGCUGUGUAAGGUUCACACAAUCUGCAGGUUAGCCUCAGCUUUUCUCCUUCCAGUCUGUAGACAUGUUCAAACAGGUAGACCAGGCUCUCCUGGCACGCCUGGCACUCCUGGCAUGCCAGGCACUCCUGUAAAAGGAGCGGCACCACGACUGCACCGAUGCGUUACCAAGGUGUUCACUUCCCCAUUAAGCUGCCUGUGUAAAGAAAAGAUAAUCAGAUUAGACAGAGAAGACUUCUUAAGUUUUUAAGUUUCAUGAUAUGUUAGAAAUAUUAUAUAUAUGUCAGUGCAGAAUAUGAAAUGUAGGCUAAAUAUGGCUGCAUGGCACUGUUCCUACAGAGUAUUAUAAUCAUUAAGUGUUGCUACAUUACAUCAACCUGUUCAGACUUCAGUAAUAUAAAGCACAGAGCUGCUAUCUGUUGUUUUGGUAUUGUUAAUAUGGUGCAGGACGGGUACGAAUAUAAUUAAAUAACGCUACAAACCUCGGUUGUUCUCCUUUUGAGGGUUUCCAGCCUCGUCGGUUCUUCCCUUGCUGCCGAUGUGUUGGUGCAGAUGGUUCUGCCAACGCUAUCGACUACGUUACGUUUUCAAAGAUCAGCGCUCGGCUUGGCUCCAUGUCAUUGACAGCUACUCAUCAAGCCAGAAAUCUUGGUGUAAUUAUUGACUCGGACCUGAACUUUAGCAACCAUCUAAAGCUUAUCACCAAAUCUGCCUACUACCACCUGACAAAUAUAGCUAGAAUGAAGCUCCAAACAAGACAUGGAAAAACUUAUUCAUGCAUUGAUUUUCAGUAGGUUGGAUUACUGUAAUGGUGUCUUUACAGGUCUGAACAAAAAAUCAAUCAUGCAGCUGCAGCGGAUUCAGAGUCCUUACAAACAGCAUUAAACUGGACCAUAUUACACCGGUCCUCAGAUCACUACACUGGCUUCCUGUGAGUCAAAGGAUAGAUUUUAAAAUCUUAUUGCUGGUCUACGAAACACUGAACGGUCUUGGACCAGAAUACAUGCUAGAUCUAUUAGUUCCCUACGAAGCAUCCAGGCCCCUCAGGUCAUCUGGAACCAAACUGAACCAAACAAAGUGAGGCAGCAUUGAGUUACUAUGCUCCUCAUCUGUGGAACAAACUUCCUGUAGAUCUGAGGUCUGCUCAAACUAUCAGCUGCAGCAUUCUCUUAAAUUCAAUGCCUACUUGCUGGUUUUUAUAGCUCCUAUUUAUUUUUUUCCUUUAAACCUUAUCUGUUCUUAUCCCAAUUUUUACUAUUUUAUUCUUUCUUUUAACUUCUAUCAAUAGAUCCUUUCUUUGCUCAAGAGCAGAGCAAGUGAGGCUUUUUUUAAUAAUGUGUUUCCAGCUUCUGUAAAGCUUUGAGUUACCCAGUGUAUGAACUGUGCUAGACAAAUAAACUUGCCUUGUCUUGCCUUUCCUACCCGACUCUCUCCUCCUCGUGUCUCCGCAGAUGAGCUAACAUAUUCUAAGUGUUACUGCUAGCAUAAGCAACACGUGUUGGACAGUGUUUGCACACAGUCUCAGUUUAAUCCACCACUUUUCUACCACUGUCAUUAUAGUAACAUUAAAUCAAGAAUGCUUCCACACAGGAGAAGGAAACAAUGCUGCGUCCUCUAACUAUGGGCCUCCUGUGUCUACGCUCAACGCUCAACGCUCCACGCCUCCUCGAACCAAAUGAGAGAAA